GCGUCCUCAGCUAAGCUGGAUAGCGUACCUGGCUACGAGCCAGGCGGUCGGAGGUUCGAAUCCUCCAGGACGCGCCA
rnacentral:tRNA from 1 species